rnacentral:rRNA from 1 species
AGGGGUUCUGAGAGGAAGGUCCCCCACACUGGUACUGAGACACGGACCAGACUCCUACGGGAGGCAGCAGUGAGGAAUAUUGGUCAAUGGGCGCGAGCCUGAACCAGCCAAGUCGCGUGAGGGAUGACGGUCCUACGGAUUGUAAACCUCUUUUGCCGGGGAGCAAGCGUGCGUUCGUGAACGCGCGUCGAGAGUACCCGGAGAAAAAGCAUCGGCUAACUCCGUGCCAGCAGCCGCGGUAAUACGGAGGAUGCGAGCGUUAUCCGGAUUUAUUGGGUUUAAAGGGUGCGUAGGCGGGAUGCCAAGUCAGCGGUAAAAAUGCGGUGCUCAACGCCGUCGAGCCGUUGAAACUGGCGUUCUUGAGUGGGCGAGAAGUAUGCGGAAUGCGUGGUGUAGCGGUGAAAUGCAUAGAUAUCACGCAGAACUCCGAUUGCGAAGGCAGCAUACCGGCGCCCUACUGACGCUGAGGCACGAAAGCGUGGGUAUCGAACAGGAUUAGAUACCCUGGUAGUCCACGCAGUAAAC